rnacentral:snRNA from 1 species
AUCGCUUCUCUGCCUUUUGGCAAAGAUCAAGUAUUCUUAUCAAUUUCAUAUCUGAUACAUCCCCUAUCUGGAUGUAUAUUAAACUGAUAUUUGGAACAUGGAGCUGAAAUAAGGGCAUGCUCCGUCCAGUCCAUGCAUCGACCUUCACUAAAGGCAGAGUGGUGGCUCUGAG